rnacentral:tRNA from 1 species
GGAGGGUUGCCAGAGCGGCCGAAUGGGCACGCUUGGAAAGCGUGUGAGGCGCAAGUCUCCAUGGGUUCAAAUCCCAUACCCUCCGCCA